AAUAAGUGUUUAUGGCACUUUUAAAAGUUCCGUACCCACCUUGUGUGCAACGUUUGAAUCUGCUCUGUGCGUCUCCCUCUUUCGAGUGGGCCGUGGGGAUUAAGAUAUCUUUAAUCCAUUAAUAUGUUUUAAACCAGUUUUGUCAGAAGCAAUGUAUCAUUAAAUUGACCUAAUUCGAAAAUACAACUUUCAACAACAGAUCUCUUGGCUCU
rnacentral:misc_RNA from 1 species